UCAUAUAAAAGAGUGUUUCUCAACCUUUUUCGGGCCAGCGCCCCCUAGCCUUCAUCCAGGUCCCUCACCGCCCCCACCAAAAAAUUUGCAGGCUACUUUGCACUGACUAUUAUUUUAUCCUUAAUAUUAC